AGUGAACGCUGGCGGUAGGCCUAACACAUGCAAGUCGAACGGCAGCACAGUAAGAGCUUGCUCUUACGGGUGGCGAGUGGCGGACGGGUGAGGAAUACAUCGGAAUCUACUUUUUCGUGGGGGAUAACGUAGGGAAACUUACGCUAAUACCGCAUACGACCUACGGGUGAAAGCAGGGGAUCUUCGGACCUUGCGCGAUUGAAUGAGCCGAUUUCGGAUUAGCUAGUUGGCGGGGUAAAGGCCCACCAAGGCGACGAUCCGUAGCUGGUCUGAGAGGAUGAUCAGCCACACUGGAACUGAGACACGGUCCAGACUCCUACGGGAGGCAGCAGUGGGGAAUAUUGGACAAUGGGCGCAAGCCUGAUCCAGCCAUACCGCGUGGGUGAAGAAGGCCUUCGGGUUGUAAAGCCCUUUUGUUGGGAAAGAAAAGCAGCAGGUUAAUACCCCGCUGUUCCGACGGUACCCAAAGAAUAAGCACCGGCUAACUUCGUG
rnacentral:rRNA from 1 species